rnacentral:lncRNA from 1 species
AUCCUGGAAAAAUGAGGGUAAGAUGUUUUAAUUAAUAAACUUAACACACUACAACAAUGUUAAAGUGUCUCUUUUGAUUCAAAUGAGAGAUUAAAAAUUACACUGAAAGGUAUUUAAGUUCAGAUAUUUAAAAAACUUAAAUACAUAUUCUCUCCCAUCAAAAUCCUACAAUUGUGGAGGGAGCUAAAAUUAACUCAAGGAAUUCUGCACCCAUCCUAAAAAUUAAAUCGAAUCAAAUAAUCAACAAUCAAAUUGAUCCCUCCUUCCAUUUCCCUCCAACCAAACAAACUCUUCCAACACACUUCCCUUAUAGUGUUUUAACAUAUUUAAUUUAAAACAGAAACAUCAAGAGCAUACCUCUAACAUUGUCUCAUCAAAGAUGAGAGGGCAACUUGAAGGAACUUCAACAUGAUCUAACUCAACAGUAGGUUUAAGAUUCCCAAUAAAUGAAGUUUCACUAUUGUAGACCUCAUCAAUGUUAAACUCUUUAGAAAACUGUGAAACUAUCUUGGCCUCUGAAGGUUCUCCUUGAUCCCUAACUGGGGGCAUAGUAUAAUAUGGAAUUUUACCUGAAACAGUGCAAUUAUAAAUUUUUCUUACUUUCGGAAAGGAAUCAAAUUAUUCCUAAUUUCCAACUUCAAAAGAAACAUGUAUAUUCAAUAUGUAUAUUCAUCACACCUAUAUUCCAGUCAUGAAGAACGAUUCUUGCAGCAGCGUCAAUGUCAACUAUUCCACCCUUCUUGAGCUUGCCUCUAACAGUAGCCACAAUCUGUAGGAAGUCAUCAACUGAAUCAAAACUUGGAAUCUUGUAAAGAGAUAUCAGCACCCUAGCGGGACAGAGCUUGAGAAUUUCUUUCACUGCAUUGUCCAAGAAAAAGGAUAAAAGGAUUAGACUUCCCAAUAGAGCCUGAAAGUCGGGAUUUCAAAAUUAAGAUUUUAAGGAGACUUCGAGACAUUUAACAAAAAAUUAUAAUAAACAAAACUUUGAUUUACAUCUAGAAAAAUAAACACGCAGCUAAGCAUUUAACUUAAAAAAAGAUCAUAAAUUGGCAUUAUGACAAUAAACUAACUAGAAAGCAUGAUCAAUAUUGUGAAGUCGAUUAUGAAAUGAACUUCCGAUGGAUGUGUGGCAACGCAAGAAAAGAUUAGGAUUAGGAACUUAUAAUUACUAAAAAGAAGAUAAAGUCGUGUCUUAGUGCUUUAGGCAUGUGGGGAAAAGAUCAGUAGAAGCAUGUAAUGAGAGGGAGAGCAGACCAGAGAGAAAAUAGUGUAAUAGUUAAAAGUACAGAUAAAAAAAACUAGGAAAAUCAUAAAUCAAAUUUCAAGGUCUUUAAUCAACGGAACUUGAACACAAUGGGUUCAUGCCCUCACUAUAUCGAUGGAUCUUCAAGUUUUCCCCAAACUUCAUAUAACCUCUUUCAAAUAAGAACUAGGUGGUGAGGUUAAAGGCAACUAAAUCAAGGCUUGGCUUGAUUUUUUUGGGGUAUAUUUUCAUACAAGUUUCAAUUCCACAAAAAGCAAGCACUGGUAAGCCAAUUUUAAAGUUUAAACUAAAUCGAGCAAUAUAUUUAGCACUCAAAAGGUAAAGAUAAUAGGUUACUAGCAUUGGGAGGGUUUAUAAAAACAUGUAGAGAAUCUCAAGGUAAAGGGAGACCAUUUCUUCAACUGAGAUCAAGAUAACAAGUAUCUAUCAUCUGCUCUAGAACAUGACCAGAAAGGAGCAUAAAUUAUGGAUGUCUCACCACAAAAUUUAAUUAAAAUUGCAUUAAUUAAAAGAGAAUCCGAAAAACAAUUAUCAGUAUUAGAGUCUAGAAGAGGGUCUUAAACAUUUAUUAGUUGAUAUCAUUUGAAUUCUUUAUUAGCAUCAAAUAAUUUCCGCAUAAGAAAAUGGAGGACAUAAAGUUCCAACCAUCCAUUUCAAGUAGCAUUACUCCAAUAUUACCUAAAUAAGAGAAUUAAUUAAUGGGGGAAGGAGAUGACUUCAAGUACCUGGGCUAACUGGAUCAGCUAACUUCUCAAUUCUCUUGCAAUUUUUUAAUGCAAUAGUAGCAUCAUUUUCUCGAGAGUCCAGCAUGACAACACCAGGGCAAUCCAGCAACUUAACAUUUUUGUCCAAACGAAUCUCUUGCUUUGACCUUGUCGACCCAGCAGAAGCACUGACAUGGACAGCAUGGCUUCUCAUUAAACUAUUAAUAAGACUACUCUUACCAACAUUGGGCAGUCCAACCAAACCAACAGUGAUUGACGUCUUGAGCUGUGAAGACAAAGCCAAAAUAAUUACGGCAAAAUAGAUAAGCACCAUAAAUUGUAAGACUAGAAGUGAAGUUACAAGAAUUGGGAGGAAAUAACAUAAUCACUAAAAUGUAGAAUCUCUGUUGAAUGGAAAUAACAUCACAUAAAGAAGCAAAUAUACAACGUUAUUUAGCUGCAUGAUCAAAUCCAGUAUAACAUGAAAAGUAUCAUGGAAUAUGUUAUUCCCAAACAUACAAGUGCUAAAUUCAUGCAUACAGAUUGAACAGCAUCAACACUACAAUUGAAGACAAAUUUAAUAAAAUAUGUUUUGAGAUUGAUACUUCUAUUACACCACAGAAAUUACAUAACACUGAAACAUAAAAGCAGAAUAUAUCUUGUAAAAUUGAUGAGGGUAAAGUUGAUUACACAAUAAAGUAUCAGAAAUAUAAAGCAUAUGAAUGCAAAUAAUAAUAAUAAUAAUACUUGUUCAAAAAAUAAUAAUAAGAGUUAUGCUAACCGGUGCCUCAUGGGCACCGGUUAAGGAGUUAAAAAUAGAAAUAAAAGACAAAUUUCACAAUAAAACAAACACUUUUUCAACUUUUAACAAGUAGAAUGCACAAUUUUCAAAAUAACGUUUUCUAUUAUAACUCCUUAACCCAGUGCCACAGGGGAACUAGUUAGCAUUUCCCUAAUAAUAAUAAUAAGGUUUCUAACAGCUGAUAUGAAAUCCAAAAUAGUAUUGAUAACAUCCAAGAAGCAUGUGAAUCACAAGUAACAUCUCUGAUUAUAAACAGCACCUAAAUUCAGCAGAAACCUCACUUUAAUCAUACAAACAACUAUUAUAACUUAAUCACAAUAAGAAAAAGUGAACUAUAAUUCAACCAUAUUUAUAAGAACACUUGCAAACAUCACAGAAAUAAGAACAUAAAAAAUAAAAAGAGAGGGCAAGAACAUUGAACAUAAAAGUAAUCUUCUGUUACCUUGUCGCUUCUUGCAUAAUUCUUCAAUAGUUUGAGCAGUGUCUCAGCUCCGAGACAAUCACUUAAUUGCAAAGUAUUACUUGUUUUGAUUUUUUUAGAUCUCCCUAGGUUAGAUUUUUGCUGUUGUGUACUGCACUUGAAAGCGACAGUAGGGAAUUCUUCUCGAAGGUACUUGAGCCACUUCUCAACUGACUCUCGAGGGACAAGAUCUGAAUUUGAAGCACAAAUGAUUAGUCAAUGAAAAAAAUAUUCCCAGAAGGGAAAAAGGUGAUCAAGAAACUUACCAAUUUUAUUCAAAAGCAAUACAUGACGUUUAUAGGUUCCUGAAUCCCUCACCCUCUUUUCGAUGUUAACACAACGAGUACCCAAGGGAUCCCGGGCAUCAAGGACCUCUAGUAUGACAUCAGAAGUUGCAAUAACCGCUUCCAAAUCACCGGCAAAGGCCCUGUCUGAACUAUCUAUGGAAAAAGAAACAUGAAAACAUGAUGAAUAUAAGACAAGCAAUUAAGCAACUUAGAAAUAUUUGACCUAAACAAAAUUUGCAGCAAAUGUAAAAUAAAAAUACCUUUAUUAGUCUUCGCAACGGUGGGAACACUUUCGGUAUUUUCUAUAGAAGCCGUUUCAACUGAAUUGGAGUUAUCAUCAUCCACUGGCAGCCCCGCUUUCCUUUUACGAGCCUGAAACAAGAGUCAGACAUGAUUAAGUUCAUAUUAUAAGAAAAAUCAAAAUCAUAGAAUGCAAACAAAAGAAUAGUAUUACCAUACAGGCAUAACACAUAACAUAAAUAUUCCUACAUCUCUGAGUAGACUGUCGCAUCAAAAAGAAUAGCUUUUUCUUGUGUAUCUCUAUUUGUUAUAAUUAUAAUUCAAGUUAUUAUCUAUCAUCUAUAACUAUCAAUCCAAUAGUUCUAGUUAAUUAAUCAAAUAUCUUCAGAUGUUUUUGUAUAAAAAUCAUACACACGUGACUAUAUCUCCGAAGUAACUUGAGCUUAGUUCCUUGAGAUUAAAAGUUUUAUCGGACAAGCUUUGGAAAGAAAACCAAGUGGAGCAUGACACACACAAUAUAGCCUCUUUAGAUUGACUUAUCUAGUGACAUCAGCAUUUGUGAAACUAUUUGGGAAAGCUUAUGACAUGUCCAUAAGUUUUUUUUUAAGGAAGACACGUCCAUAGUUGUUUACAACUUUAAUUUCAUAGCUUCUUCAAAAAAAAAAAAAUUUCAUAAGCAUUCUAUGAUAGCUUAUAAUAACAGCUUACAUGAGCAAUUACAGGAAACGCACUUAUACUAUAAGCCCUUAAUUAACCUGAUUAUCCAAACUGAAUACAUACCCAUUUAUUCACAAUUUCACUAUGAAAUAUAAUAUUCAAUUUCUUAACUUUCCAUAAAAAAAAAAACAUCUAUAUCACAAACUUUUACUUUUAAAUAAAAUUAGCCAUCAAUUUUGAAACAAUAAAUCUCAAAAAUUAAUUAAAUGAUACCCUUUCUUUGCGUUCAUCUUUCUUUUUUGCCAAUUCAGCAAGAGCACGUUCUCUACGAGCUUCAAGUAAUUUCAAUUCCUGUUCCUUAAAAGGCCAAUCAUUUGGAAUACCAGGAUCUUUCUCAACCUUCUUCUUACCACUUAAUUGAAGCUUUUUAGCUUCUUUGGUUUUCUUUUUGUUAUGCUCUUUCACUUUCUUUAGGAUUUUGUACUUUUUCUUCAAUGGAACCCUCUUACUCUUACUCUCUGCAAAUCAAAUCAAAUCAAAUCAAAUGAAUUAGAUCAAAGUAAAAUAACGAUGAUGAAAUUGAAGAAGUGACGAAAGGGAAUUGCUUACUUUUGCUUCUCUUCACCAUUUUAGGGUUUGUUGUGUUAGAAAGAGAGAAAGGGUUGCGGCAACAGAGUGUUGUUUUUAGGGUUUAACGAUUUUUGGGGGUUAUAUAUAAGGUUGUGGAUGAAUAACCUGUGUUUUUGGACAAAUGCAAUAAUGGCCGUUGAUUUAUAAAUUAAAAUUUCAAUGGUGAAGAUUUAAGAAGGUGACUUGUAGUGAAAAGUAUGCGAUUUCUUUACCUCACCAAAAACGUACGGGACCAAAAUUAUUAUCUCCAAAAUUUUUAAAAAAAAACAUCUCCGCAUUAUUUUUUGGAAUUUUGCUCUUCUCAUAACAAAAUUCACUCGCGCCCAGCUGAACUUCUCAAUAUACACUGCGUGAUUUAACUCACGCACCUAUAACUUUGUGUGACUUAAGUCAUGCAUCACUGACAUGAGCGCAAGUUAACUCACGCAGGUUGGUCGAUGGUCUGAACUCAAAAACAUACGUUUUUUGAAUAAAUCCAAAUAAAUACUAAUUUAGUUCAUUUCUUUUUAUUUGUAUUUAUUUAAUGAAUAAAUUUGAAUAAAGUAAAUAAAUUUAAUUUGAAUAACGUAAAUAGAUAAAUUAGAAUAAAGUAAAUAAAUUAAAAUAAAGUAAACAAAUAAAUUAGAAAAUAAGUAAAUUAGAAUAAAGUGAACAAAUAAAUUAGAAAAUAAAUAAAUUAGAAUAAAGUCAACAAAUAAAUUAGAAAAUAAAUAAAUUAGAACGAGGUGAACAAAUAAAUUAGAAUAAAGUGAACAAAUAAAUUAAAAUAUAGUAAAUAAAUUGUCCCCGUGAGCAUAACUCAGUUGGCAGGGACAUGCAUUGUUAUAUGCAGGGACCGGAGUUCGAACCCCAGACACCCUGCUUAUUCUCCUUGAAAAAGGAGAAUUCUAGCCACUAGACUACCUGACCAAAAAAGAAAAUUAAUGCAGGGCUAUUUUAGGUAUUUCAGUUGGCGCGUGCAAAACUUGUUGGGAGAAGAGUAUGAUUCUAAAAAUAAAUGGAAAUAAGAGUUAAAAUUUCAAUGGUGAAGAUUUAAGAAGGGUAAUUUGUGCAAAGACUUCAGUGCGCGAGCAACUUAUAUCACAAAUGGUGCGAGACUAUUUUUUUUUUUUUUUGAAACCACGUAAUGUGCGAGACUAUUGAGAUCCGUUCGAUCAAAAUAGACCAUCAAUAGACUUCUUGACUAUAUUUUUUUUAAUCAUUUUUUAAUUAAUAAAAAAAUUACUCUCUCCUUCCUAUCUCUCUCUCCACCGCUUUCUCUCCGAUCUUUUCCUCCUCUGCACCUCUCUCUCCACCACUUCACCUCUCUCGGACCUCCUCCAUUUCUCAUUUUUUUAAGGGUUAAACAUGUUUUUAGUCCUUACAUUUUGCACCCCUUUGAAAAAUAGUCCUUAUAUUUCAUUAAUUGUUUUUAAAAUCCUCACAUUUUAUCUCCGUUAUCAAAAUUAGUCUCUACUGCUAAUUUUCUAACGGAAUGCUGAUGUGACAAUUAGUGGGUCCCAAUUAUUUUAAGGUUAAAUAUGUUUUUAGUCACUACAUUUUGCGUGACUUUGAAAAACAGUCCUUGCAUUUCAAUAAAUAUUUUUAAAAUCUCUAAAAUAAUAAGGAUUAUUCUUCAAAGUCACGCAAAAUGUAAGGACUAAAAACAUAUUAACCCUAAAAUAAUUGGGGCUCAUUAACUGACAUAUCAGCAUUCCGUUAGAGAAUUAACACCACUGACUAAUUUUGAUAACGGAGAUAAAAUAUGAGGAUUUUAAAAACAUUUAAUAAAAUGUAUGGACUAUUCUUCAAAGUGGCGCAAAAUAUAAAGAUUAAAAACAUAUUUAACCCUUUUUUAAACUUCACCCAGAUUUCCUUUCCCAUCAAAUUUAAUUUUUAUUCUUGAGUAGUUCCCAAUUUCAUCGAAGAAAAAACAACAAUGGGAAAAAUAUAAGUUUCAUAACGAUGAAUGUGAUGAUGUGAGUGAAUCCUCAACUUUGUCCCUGAAUUUUCACGACUCGGCCAAAUUCAUCCCUCAAUUAUGCGAAAUAUCAAUUUAAUUCCUGAAUUUGUUAAAUGUCAAUCAAGGUAGUCCUUCUGUUCAAACGGAGCGUUAACCUCUCACAUGUCAGACGCCACGUAGACAGGGACUAAUUUGGCCGAUAAUAACAAACAUUUCAAAGGACUAAACUGAUUAAUUUGCAAAAAAUGUUUCGGCUUUCUUCCCGAAAGGCACUUUUCUUCCCUAACAAUUCUUUCUCCCCCAAUUGUAUAAAAUUGGAACACUAAUUACACCAGCAAUCUACACUCCAAAAUCACCAAAAUUUCCUCCAGUAAUAAGUGGUCCGAUUCUUCCCCAAUUCAAAAAACUUCAAACCCUAACUUUUUGCAUUGAAUUUGAAUAGCAAAAUUGUAACGCCCACUUUUAUUUAAUUAAUUAUUUAAUUGAGUCUAGACGAGUUAUAUUAUAUUUAUAUAAUAUAUGUGUGAUUUAUGAUGAUUUUUGACGAUUUGGAUGAUUUUAGAUGAGUUAUGAGAUGUGAUGAUUUUUAUGAGGUUAUGAGACUUAUUUUGUUGUUUAAUAAAAUAAGAUUUGAAAAUAAAAUAAAAUAUUUAGUUAAGGGAUGUUUUGAGAUUUUAGAGAGUUUUGGGGGAGAAAGUGAGAUAAGAUAAGAUAUUAGGAAGAGAUAUAAAAAGGAAAGACCUAGUUUUAGAAAAGUUAGUACGUACGAUCAAAACUUUGGAAAAGGAGGAAAAAAGCCAUAGAAGGGAGAAGACCUAGAGGAAGGCUGCGAUUUCUUCAAACUAAGGUAAGGGUGAGACUAAUGAUUCAGUAGUAUUAAUCCUUAUGAUUCUGAUGAUCAAAUUAACAAGUUAGGAUUGAAUUAGAAAGUUUAUGAAAUUAGGGUUAAUAGGUGAUUUUGAUGAUCCAAUGAUGUUAGGUUGUUAGAUUGAUGCUUGAAACGUCAUUUGACCUUAGAUUAUGAAUAAGAUGAAUUAUGGAAUCGAAAUUAGGCUUUAAACCAUGAGAUUAGAUGAAUUUUCGUAAAAACUGCAUUCUGCCCGAGCCCAUGUUCAUCGCUCGCCCUCGCGAACGAUGAUCCUCGCCUCGCGAGUGAUGAAGUUCAUCGCUCGCCACGUGAGCCAAUUUCCCUCGCCUCGCGAGCUGCACGUCGCAGCUCGCCACAACGAGCAACCUUACUCGCCAUAGCGAGCAUGACCAAAGAGCAUGUCGAAUUUUGUAUUUUUGACUUUUGAGUUGAACCUUAGAUGCUUUUGAGUGCCUAAAGAUGUUUAUUAAUGAUUAGAUGAUGACUUAGAACGGGAUUGAACCUGGUUUAGCUUAGAACAACUUUAGUUGGAAUUCUGGCUUGUACUCGCUAUGGCGAGCAGAUGCUCUCGCCUUGCGAGCACUUCCAGAACUGAGUGCAAGUUAGGAUGUUGCGAUCUGUGUCGCAUAAAUUGAUUAGGGAUGGACUCUUAGGUAGUAAUGUGACUUGUAUAAGAAGUUAACUGCAAACUGUGAAGCUGUUAUGAGAUGCUAAGUUGUUUAUAAUGUGAUUCAAUGAUUAAUUGCAUUACUUGAAAUAUUAUUGAAUGAUCAAGAUGUUGUUGAAAUAAAUUGAUAUUAUGAAGUUAUGCUGUUGUUGUGAUCUGAUUAUGCUGCUAUUGUUAUUUAACUAAGUUGCAUGAGUCUAUACAAGAUGAUUAAGAUGAUGUUGAACUCCAAAUUAUUGGAUGUAUAUGAGAUGAUGAUUAAGAUGUUUAAGAGAUCAAGUCCAUGCAUUAGCAUACAUUUGUUGGGGGCUCAUGCCCUGGAGCUUUGUACUCACCACGAAGGAGCAUUUGCUCAAAAUAAUGUUGGGGGCUUAUGCCCUGAAAGUAUAUUAAUACUAAAAUGUUGGGGCUCAUGCCAUGUAUUGGUACCACAUGCAUAUAAGAGGUCUAAGUUGCAUUGUUGCAUUGUCGAGUCAAAUGAUGAAAGAUGUUAAGAUGUUAUGUUAUUUAUGAUGAUUGAAUGAAGUGAUUACUUGAUAUUUUAUUAUCAAUGAUGCUAUGAUGUUUAAGAUGUUUAUGUUGUUAAUUAUGAUUGUUGAAUUAUAUUGAUUAAUAUUAUUGUUUUGUGAAAUCUCACCCCUUCUACUUGGAAAUGUUGCUCUUCGUAUGAGUAACAUGCAGGUGAUCGAGCGUAGGUUGCUGUUGUGCUGUCGUGAGUGGCAUUGCCUCACUGAGUCCUAGGUUGCUCUGAUACGUAACGGGAUGGGGUUUUGAUAUGCAUACUUCAUUUCCUUUACGUGUUCAUUUAUGAUGUUUCAUGCUGUUUAACUGAAUUUAUUUGAGAUAUUACGAUGGGGCCUACGUGCCAAGACAACUUAUGAUUUUGAAAUAACU